rnacentral:rRNA from 1 species
UACGUAGGGUGCGAGCGUUGUUCGGAAUUACUGGGCAUAAGGGGAGCGUAGGCGGGAUUGUAAGUUAGAAGUUUAAUGCAUGGGCUUAACCCAUGGUCGGCUUUUAAUACUGCAGUUCUUGAGUAUGGGAGAGGGUGAUGGAAUUCCAGGUGUAGCGGUGGAAUGCGUAGAUAUCUGGAAGAACACCAGUAGCGAAGGCGGUCGCCUGGCCCAAUACUGACGCUGAUGCUCGAAAGCUAGGGGAGCAAACAGGAUUAGAUACCCU